CGGCACGCUUAACACAUGCAAGUCGAACGAAGUAGCAAUACUUAGUGGCAGACGGGUGAGUAUAAUGUGGGAAUCUGCCUUUUGGUUUAGAAUAACUCGGGGAAACUUGAGCUAAUACUGGAUAAGCCCUCACGGGGAAAGCUUUAUGCGCCAAGAGAUGAGCCCGCACUUGAUUAGCUUGUUGGUGAGGUAAAAGCUCACCAAGGCAACGAUCAAUAGCUGUUCUUAGAGGAAGACCAGCCACAUUGGGACUGAGACACGGCCCAGACUCCUACGGGAGGCAGCAGUGGGGAAUCUUGCACAAUGGGGGAAACCCUGAUGCAGCGAUGCCGCGUGAGUGAAGAAGGCCUUUGGGUUGUAAAACUCUUUCGUCGGGGAAGAAAAUGACUGUACCCGAAUAAGAAGGUCCGGCUAACUUCGUGCCAGCAGCCGCGGUAAUACGAAGGGACCUAGCGUAGUUCGGAAUUACUGGGCUUAAAGAGCUCGUAGGUGGUUAAAGAAGUUGGUGGUGAAAUCCCAAGGCUUAACCUUGGAACUGCCAUCAAAACUUUUUGGCUAGAGUAUGAUAGAGGAAAGCGGAAUUUCUAGUGUAGAGGUGAAAUUCGUAGAUAUUAGAAAGAACACCAAAAGCGAAGGCAACUUUCUGGAUCAUUACUGGACACUGA
rnacentral:rRNA from 1 species